AACUUCCUUUAUUUUGCGUUUUUGCAUUUAUCACCAGAAGUCAUUACUAAACUAUUGAUAGUCACACAUACUGUCGAUGCAUCGAUAGUGUUUUGUUUCCGAGU